rnacentral:rRNA from 1 species
UAGGGAAUCUUCCACAAUGGACGCAAGCCUGAUGGAGCAACGCCGCGUGAGUGAAGAAGGGUUUCGGCUCGUAAAGCUCUGUUGUUAAAGAAGAACGUGGGUAAGAGUAACUGUUUACCCAGUGACGGUAUUUAACCAGAAAGCCACGGCUAACUACGUGCCAG